UGGAGGCGUGGCCUGGCCAGGGCCUCAGCGACUGGGAGGCGCAGUCUCGGCGCGCAGAGUUCUAUUGUUACAUAAAAGUGCCGAGGCCUCCCUCUCCCGAGCGGAAAACCACCUGUGUGUUGCGGCAGAGGCUCUGGGAGUGGGGGGUGGGGGGUUGGCAGAGGCCGGAAGGCGCGGACUCUAAGCCGGCUUCCCCUCCCUGACCCCCCCGGCGGAAAAGAGGCCGCUGGCAGUCCGGCAGCCGCCAGGGGGGCGGAAGCGGCGGCAGUGGCUCGGCGGGGAGCGACGUUCCGAGCGCCCCUUCUGGCGCUCUGCACCCAUCGCAAAUGUAACGGAGGGCACCUGAGGUCGCAGGGGGUCUCCCUUUCCUAGACUCCCCGCACCCGAGGGCCUGCCUGCUUACGCCGCGCUCCAAUUUGCAUUUUUAGUCACCCACCUCUUCCCUCCUUUGGGGAAUGUAAGCUAAAAAAAAAAAAAAAAGCGAUUGCGAAGCCCAGGUUGCCAAUUUUGGAGCUCUGCUGCAGGCAGGCCGCCCCUGGAAGAGCGUGUUCAACGAAGGUGGGGGUUGCCGUGCUUCUUUCCCCACUCCUUUUUUGGGCAUGCCUUGGAACAAAAUUGCCAUAUUUUACUGGAUAUCAUCCAGUUACAGCCGGAGGAGCCCUGCGCUGGAGUUGACGCCUCCGAUUCGCCCCCACCUGUUAUAGACGUUCCCAGCCCAGGACGUUUCGGUCACCAGGACCUAGAGGCGAGCAGGAGAGUUGCAGGGUGCCUUGCUACAGAAUUGAGAGGAGCAAACUCUUUCAGUCCGGGACCUUUCACAGAGGAUGCAAGGAGAGACACUGGUUUCUGUUUAGUUAUUUUAAAAGUGAAAUUACCUGAGCCUGGGUAUAAAUUUGGAAAGAUAGUCGCACACUUCGCAAACAUUUAGUUUUACCUAUGCUUCUGAAACCCACCGCAAUCGGAAUACCGAUCCUUUUCAACACAUUUUAUGAAAUGACAUUCUGACAGCUCGAUCCCAAACCAGGCAGCGUAAAGAGCCUCUGGAGUAAGGCGGCCCGGGUUUAAAUUGUGCCCUAAUCGCUUCCUAAACAUUUGACCGUGAUUAAAUUUUCUAACUAUUCUAAGCCGCACUCUUCCGUGUUGGCAUAAUAACAAUAUCUGCGAUGGUUGGAUGGGUAAAGUGAAAUGCCCUAAUGUGGUGGACUAUUAGCUGUUUACAUUUUUAUCACUUUGAAUUCCGAAUCUGCGCAGUGGCCUGAGUCCAUUCCAUCCACAAGACCCUUCUUUGCUGGCUGCCUAGGAGCUUGCCUGGAAUUGGCUCAUCUACAGAGAAGCCCUCUGAGGAUCUGCCUACCCUAAGCAAUUUAAUCCAUCCCAAUUCAGCCGUCAAGCAAAGCAGUCACUGUUAGAAACCUGGGUCAAAAGCCUUGAACUCGGUUAACAGACAGAAAGCCAGUUACCUAACUUUUCUCCAAUGGGUCCUUUUUUAAACACCCUGUUUGUUCUCCAACCACACCAAACUGAUCUAAUAAAAAUAAUACACAGUGGGUAUUUACUACAUGAUAAGCAUGGUACUGCUUUCUGUGUUUACAUGCAUAAUUUUGGCCAGUCUCAGAAAACGCAUGUAAAUUAUCUACAUUCACAGAAAUUAAGAAAUUUACCUGAGGUCACACAUGAGAAAACUAUGGGGGCAGGAUUUGAGGCUAGCCUUUUAAGGAUUGACCACAUACACAAAAGUGUUACAGGAUGUUGUAAAGAUCAUACCCCUCUGUGUUGUUCCCUGCUGGAAUUUGAAGGCUUAAGGCCUGCAUUUUGAAUUCUGACCACCAGGGUCACGUAAUCAGUUGCACCCUCCUCCCCACACAUUAGGAUCAAACAUGAGGCUUGCUUUCCUGCUCCUUUUCCAUCUGGUGGCUUUCUUUGGUGCUGAGUCCUGUUGCUGAUGAUCCUGCCUCGAAUCUCCUCAUACUGGCCCUGUCACCCAGCCUCCCAGGAAAAACUCUGAGAAGAGUUCUAGCAACUACAAGAAUCACAGGCUUCCUCACUUCCAGAGGCCUCAGUUCUUUAGGUGUCGUUCAUGGGUAGAGGUCUGUGUCUAUAUGCAGGGCAGCAAUUUCUGAGAUACUAACUUCGCUCUGUGUGUAUACGUGUUCUUCCUGCUGGUUCCCCCUGGGAAGUUGUUUAAAAGUGCCUCAAAAAGACCGUGAGUCAUGUCUCAACAGCAGGAAGCCAAGAGGCCGAAAGGACUGAUGCUGGGGUAGGCUGUGCACAGAGAAAACCAAAAGGAGUGUUAACUCUGCGCCCCAAAUUAAAACCACGACUAGAGAUCCUGGUUUGCAAUCAAAUCACUUCUCAUGUGGCAGCUCUCCACAGCUUGUCCCAGGGUGAGGGGCUGCAGGGCUAAUGAUUUUUCUGAACAGUUCAGGGGUGUGGGGAAAAAGACAGGCCAGGCCAGGUGGCCAAGGGUAGCUGUUCAGCAGCAGUGCCAGAAUCACUCAACCACGGUCAUGUCUAGGGAGUGGUUGGGGCUUUCCUACAAACAACAUGGCACUUUAACACCUUGCCAGAACAGUACAACCAAAGGAAAAUGUGAACUAGUGUGAAAUCAGACUUGGGCCCCAAUCGGGCUAAGCUUUCAAAGAUUACAGUCUUCAUUAGCUUUCAUGUGUUUCUGUUUUCCAGCACCUGAUGCAAUGUGCAUUAAUUUACAUUCAAGAUCCCAUAGAGACUUUAUAUAGAAUAUUCUUUUGAAGUCUUUAGCAAGAACAUUCAUUUAAAGAUAACAGUGUUGAUUUCUUCUUUCAAAAGUUUUGGU